rnacentral:rRNA from 1 species
GAACGCUGGCGGCGUGCCUAAUACAUGCAAGUCGAACGGUCUUUCUAUGGAAGCUGCUUCCACUGAGAAGAUAGUGGCGGACGGGUGAGUAACACGUGGGUAACCUGCCCAUAAGAGGGGGAUAACAUCCGGAAACGGGUGCUAAUACCGCAUAGUUUUCUUGAUCGCAUGAUCGAGAAAGGAAAGACGGCCUUUGUGCUGUCGCUUAUGGAUGGACCCGCGGCGUAUUAGUUAGUUGGUGAGGUAAUGGCUCACCAAGACGAUGAUACGUAGCCGACCUGAGAGGGUGAUCGGCCACAUUGGGACUGAGACACGGCCCAAACUCCUACGGGAGGCAGCAGUAGGGAAUCUUCCGCAAUGGACGAAAGUCUGACGGAGCAACGCCGCGUGAGUGAAGAAGGUUUUCGGAAUCGUAAAACUCUGUUGUCAGAGAAGAACAAGUUGGAGAGUAACUGCUCCAGCCUUGACGGUAUCUGACCAGAAAGCCACGGCUAACUACGUGCCAGCAGCUGC